GGUUAACGCUGGCGGCGUGCCUAACGCAUGCAAGUCGAGCGAGGGCUUUCCUCUCGCAAGGGAGGGGAGUACCUAGCGGCGAACGGGUGAGUAACACGUGGGCAACCUUUCCCAUGGUGGGGGAUAACACCGGGAAACCGGUGCUAAUACCGCAUGAGGUCUUUGGGGGCAUCCUCGAAGAAGAAAGCAGAGAUGCGCGAUGGGGUGGGCCCGCGGCCUAUCAGCUAGUCGGUGGGGUGACGGCCUACCGAGGCAUUGACGGGUAGCUGGUCUGAGA
rnacentral:rRNA from 1 species